CUUUUUCAUUUACAUGAUGAACUAGUGACAGGAAGGACCACUGUGAAUGAAGGUUUUUCAAGACUGAAAGAAAUCUGAGGAUGGGCAAAGUGUGUUUUGGAGAACGUGUCAGAAAGCGUAGUUGCUCUUGUGACAGAAAAAGGUGCACAUCAUUUGGAUCUACGUGCAGCCACAUGCGAUGAUCCUGAUUGGUUGGUGAAGCAAAGGGAGUCUGAAGUUGAGAUUAUUCAGGGUUGGAUCCAUGAUUACUACGAGAAAAAGAAAGCCGUUUUUAACAUGUAAAGAUUCUUGGUUUUUGUUGGUAGUUACAAAUGUUGUAUAGGCUUCUAAGGGAAACUUUUGUUCCACGUGUGUAUGUAUAUAACUUGUUGUAUUUUUAUUAAUAAAAGCUCACGUAGUAUGGUAUGGUCCUACGUAGGAUGCAAAUGAUUUCUUGGAUUAUAUGUUUGACAA